CCUGGCUUUUGGUGUGUUCCAACCUCUGCAAUAAGGACAAAGAAAGAAACAAAAGCCUCAAGACUGCUUGUUCGUGCUAAUUUUGAAUCCAGUUAUCAAAAAUAACCUCACCAUGAUUGGACACGUUCGCCUAUACUGAGCUGUUUUCAUGCAAACUGGAUGAAGCCCAGACCCUGGUAUGUGGCACUGACGUCUCCUGUUGGUUGAUAGCUGUUUUCUGUUUUCCAAGAAGGAAUGGACUAACACCAGCACUUGGAGAAAUCAGUACCUCUCUCCAGUCUGCCUCUGUGCGACCUUCUGUCAGUCAAGAAUCUUUCUGGAAGAACUUCAGGGGACCUGAUCCUUAUUCCAUUCACAUUUAUAUAUGUUAUGGCCCUUUAUAUCAGCGGUCAUAUAAAAAGGUCUCAAACAAGGUGCAAAUUACAUAUAAACCUA
rnacentral:lncRNA from 1 species